UACGAAGGGGGCUAGCGUUGCUCGGAAUUACUGGGCGUAAAGCGCACGUAGGCGGAUUGUUAAGUCGGGGGUGAAAUCCUGGAGCUCAACCCCAGAACUGCCUUCGAUACUGGCGAUCUCGAGUUCGGGAGAGGUGAGUGGAACUGCGAGUGUAGAGGUGAAAUUCGUAGAUAUUAGGAAGAACACCAGUGGCGAAGGCGGCUUACUGGUCCGGUACUGACGCUGAGGUGCGAAAGCGUGGGGAGCAAACAGG
rnacentral:rRNA from 1 species